rnacentral:rRNA from 1 species
AGUCACUGACAUUAGAUACCCGCGUAGUCCCACGCCGUAAACAAUGUGCGUUAGGUGUGUCGGUAACCACGCGUUACUGAUGCGCCGAAGAGAAAUCGUGAAACGCACCACCUGGGAAGUACGGUCGCAAGGCUGAAACUUAAAGGAAUUGGCGGGGAGCACCACAACAGGUGGAGCCUGCGGUUUAAUUGGAUUCAACGCCGGACAUCUCACCGGAUAAGACAGCUGAAUGAUUGUCAAUCUGAAGGUUUUACAUGACUAGCUG